AUGAACGCUGGCGGCGUGCCUCAUACCUGCAAGUCGAGCGCACGGACGAGAAGCUUGCUUCUCUGAUGUUAGCGGCGGACGGGUGAGUAACACGUGGAUAACCUACCUAUAAGACUGGGAUAACUUCGGGAAACCGUAGCUAAUACCGGAUAAUAUUUUGAACCGCAUGGUUCAAAAGUGAAAGACGGUCUUGCUGUCACUUAUAGAUGGAUCCGCGCUGCAUUAGCUAGUUGGUAAGGUAACGGCUUACCAAGGCAACGAUGCAUAGCCGACCUGAGAGGGUGAUCGGCCACACUGGAACUGAGACACGGUCCAGACUCCUACGGGAGGCAGCAGUAGGGAAUCUUCCGCAAUGGGCGAAAGCCUGACGGAGCAACGCCGCGUGAGUGAUGAAGGUCUUCGGAUCGUAAAACUCUGUUAUUAGGGAAGAACAUAUGUGUAAGUAACUGUGCACAUCUUGACGGUACCUAAUCAGAAAGCCACGGCUAACUACGUG
rnacentral:rRNA from 1 species